AACCACAGAAAGCAUCUGGAACAGCCCUCCGGUGGCAUUUUUGGUGAUGGUUCCUUAUAUCCUCGCUCCAAACGAUUUGAGGCCAGUGGUUCUUACUGAGGAGUCUCCUCUGGUGCUGGAGCUGGCAUCUGGGAUCUCCGUGGGCCUGUUAGAUCCUAGACCUACAGAUCGCUCAGCUAAAAGGGACCUGGGAGAUCGAAUGGAGCCCGUUAAAUCACGUCACGGAGAAAACGACUGACUUUGCUACUUCAGUGAAAUUAUCACAUCAGUCACCAGCUCAUCUCCCAUGCCUCCGACAACAGAGCGAGGGAGGGUCGGGGGCGCCGCGAAUGGCUCCUGAGACCCACUGAGGACGUGCAUCACAUGUCUUCUGGCUGCUCUCUGAGGAGAUGGAAUGCAGAUGGCUCCAAUGAACUCAGCCCCAUGGGAUGACACCGUGCCAGGAUGCAGGAUGCAUGGUGACAAAUUUCAGGUACUCCAACCCAAAGACCAGGUGGCUCAGAGGAGAAUCUGUGGAAGGAAUCAGGCUGGGAGCUGUUCAGGGCCAGAAACCUUCCUUCUCUUUUACAGAUGGGGGAAACUGAGGCUCAGAGAGGGAUACAACUUGGUUAAGGUACCACAGUUGGUUGUGACUGACCUAUGCCUGAACCCCAGCUCUCCUGACCCCUAAGCUGACAGUCUUUCCACCCACUGUGUGUGGCCAAUGCGGCCUCAAGGUUGUUUAAAUCUCCUCUGCAGCUGACCAUGUUGGUAAAUCCGGAUCAGAGAGGAAACAGAAUCAUCCAACAUGUACAGGCGCUGGCUCUACCCGUUAUCUGCAGGCCCACACAUCUGCACGCUGCCCUUCUUAGCACGUUCAUGGGCCUUUCUGCGGGGUCGGAAGAUCUGGGUUCAAAUGUUACAUCUGCUACUCACCAGCUGUGUGACCUUGGCCAAAUUCAUCAACGCUUUGAACCCCAAAAGGAGCAGAGCAGCAUGAGAGAAGCUUACGAAAACCAGGCUUGAAAGGUUUAGCUAAAAGAGCCACUUUCCAAAUGGACGCUCCAGGCUCAGAGAGGGGGGCUUCCGUUGUUUCACUUCA
rnacentral:lncRNA from 1 species